GAUUUGUCUGAUAUUCCUCAGUUCUCCAUUACAUCUUCGAUAGUGAGCACCUAAAUUUUCGGUGGUUUCAAGUUUCUUUUGGAUUCCGGUUGUAAAAGUACUCAAAAAACGAAAUCAUGUACAUGUACGUUAACCCAAAUUACGUCUUAGUAGGGGGCCCCUGCUGUGGUGGAUGUGGCCCUUGUUGCGGUGGAUGUGGUCCUUGUUGCGGUGGCUGUGGCCCCUGCUGUGGUCCUUGCGGAGGAUGUGGACCUUGCUGCGGCGGUACCAGCAGUUUUUGCGGUUGCGGUCCUUGCUGCUGAGCCAGAUGACCGGGAAGACCAUGGGAUUACUUGAGGCUACCAUGUAGAUCUCGAAAAUUAAACUGUGGGAGACAACAA